rnacentral:rRNA from 1 species
UGGAUUGGGGCGGUUCUACGGAACCCGUUUGGUGAAUCUAGUGCCGAGAAAAGCCUUCUAUGUGUUGAAUUUCUAGUACCCGUACCCCAAACCGACACAGGUGGGUGGGUAGAGCAUACCUAGGGGCGCGUGAUAACUCUCUCUAAGGAACUCGGCAAAAUGGCCCUGUAACUUCGGGAUAAGGGGUGCCUGCGUGAGCAGGCCGCAGUGAAAUGGCUCUGGCGACUGUUUACCAAAAACACAGGUCUCUGCUAAGUCGUAAGACGAUGUAUAGGGGCUGACUCCUGCCCAGUGCCGGAAGGUUAAGGAAGUUGGUUAGCGCAAGCGAAGCUGGCGACCGAAGCCCCGGUGAACGGCGGCCGUAACAAUAACGGUCCUAAGGUAGCGAAAUUCCUUGUCGGGUAAGUUCCGACCCGCACGAAAGGAGUAACGAUCAGAGCGCUGUCUCGGAGAGAGACACGGCGAAAUAGGAUUGUCCGUGAAGAUACGGACUACCUGCACCCGGACAGAAAGACCCUAUGAAGCUUUACUGUAACUUGGAAUUGUGUUCGGACUUUGUCUGCGCAGAAUAGGUGGGAGGCUAUGAAACGUUCCUCGCGGGGAACUGGAGCCAUCGUUGAGAUACCACUCUGGCAGAGUCUGGAUUCUAACCUACGGGGACAGUUCCAGGUGGGCAGUUUGACUGGGGCGGUCGCCUCCUAAAAUGUAACGGAGGCGCGCAAAGGUUCCCUCAGGCUGGUUGGAAAUCAGCCAUAGAGUGUAAAAGCAUAAGGGAGCUUGACUGUGAGACCUACAAGUCGAGCAGGGACGAAAGUCGGCUUUAGUGAUCCGACGGCACUGAGUGGAAGGGCCGUCGCUCAACGGAUAAAAGUUACUCUAAGGAUAACAGGCUGAUCUCCCCCAAGAGUUCACAUCGACGGGGAGGUUUGGCACCUCGAUGUCGGCUCGUCGCAACCUGGGGCGGUAGUACGUCCCAAGGGUUGGGCUGUUCGCCCAUUAAAGCGGCACGUGAGCUGGGUUCAGAACGUCGUGAGACAGUUCGGUCCAUAUCCGGUGUAGGCGUAGGAGCGUUGAAAGGAUCUCUCCUUAGUACGAGAGGACCGGGAGGGACGUACCUCUGGUGUACCUGUUAUCGUGCCAACGGUAAACGCAGGGUAGCCAUGUACGGAGUGGAUAACCGCUGAAAGCAUCUAAGUGGGAAGCCCACCUUAAGAUGAGUGCUCCCUUGAGGCCACGGGAAGACGACCCGUUUGAUAGGCGCUAGGUGGAAGUGCAGUAAUGCAUGCAGCCGAGGCGUACUAAUAGGCCGAUGGCUUGUC